rnacentral:rRNA from 1 species
CUACGGGGGGCUCCAGUAGGGAAUAUUGGACAAUGGGCGAAAGCCUGAUCCAGCAACGCCGCGUGCACGAUGACGGCCUUCGGGUUGUAAAGUGCUUUUAGAGGAGAUGAGAAAGGACAGUAUCCUCUGAAUAAGCCUCGGCGAACUACGUGCCAGCAGCCGCGGUAAAACGUAGGAGGCAAGCGUUAUCCGGAUUUAUUGGGCGUAAAGCGCGUGCAGGCGGUUUGACAAGUUGGAUGUGAAAGCUCCCGGCUUAACUGGGAGAGGUCGGUCAAAACUGUCAGACUAGAGAAUGGGAGAGGGAGGUGGAAUUCCGGGUGUAGUGGUGAAAUGCGUAGAUAUCCGGAGGAACACCAGUGGCGAAAGCGGCCUCCUAGACCAUUUCUGACGCUAAGACGCGAAAGCUAGGGUAGCAAACGGGAUUAGAUACCCCUGUAGUC